GUUGACCCGUAAUCCGGGUUGCGGACAGUGUCUGGUGGGUAGUUUGACUGGGGCGGUCUCCUCCUAAAGAGUAACGGAGGAGCACGAAGGUUGGCUAAUCCUGGUCGGACAUCAGGAGGUUAGUGCAAUGGCAUAAGCCAGCUUGACUGCGAGCGUGACGGCGCGAGCAGGUGCGAAAGCAGGUCAUAGUGAUCCGGUGGUUCUGAAUGGAAGGGCCAUCGCUCAACGGAUAAAAGGUACUCCGGGGAUAACAGGCUGAUACCGCCCAAGAGUUCAUAUCGACGGCGGUGUUUGGCACCUCGAUGUCGGCUCAUCACAUCCUGGGGCUGAAGUAGGUCCCAAGGGUAUGGCUGUUCGCCAUUUAAAGUGGUACGCGAGCUGGGUUUAGAACGUCGUGAGACAGUUCGGUCCCUAUCUGCCGUGGGCGCUGGAGAAUUGAGGGGGGCUGCUCCUAGUACGAGAGGACCGGAGUGGACGCAUCACUGGUGUUCGGGUUGUCAUGCCAAUGGCACUGCCCGGUAGCUAAAUGCGGAAGAGAUAAGUGCUGAAAGCAUCUAAGCACGAAACUUGCCCCGAGAUGAGUUCUCCCUGACUCCUUGAGAGUCCUGAAGGAACGUUGAAGACGACGACGUUGAUAGGCCGGGUGUGUAAGCGCAGCGAUGCGUUGAGCUAACCGGUACUAAUGAACCGUGAGGCUUAACCUUACAACGCCGAAG
rnacentral:rRNA from 1 species